CGUCCUCCCUCCCUCCCUCCUCUUCCCACUUCACAACUUAGCAUCAGGAAUAUUUUAGUUUUGGUUUUUCAAACAUAUAUACCUCCUUUUUUCUUAUCUUGUCAAUAUCAUCUUUUUUUUUUCUUUGCUUUUCCUCAUACUUUUUUUUCUCUUCAUCCUUUCCUUCUCCAAGGGUUAACUUUCCACCUUAGGAGAAUCUUUUCUGCUUUUUCUCCCACUUCCCCAGCUACUCUCUUAUCAUCUGCUCCAAUCUCACCCUAAUUGAUCAUUUUGGGAAAAUAUGGUCAGAGUCCAGAUAACUAAGUUGAGAAAUGCUUAAACUCUGCCAUACCUUUCCAGUAAAGAAUAUUACCUAAUAAAUAAUAAAAUGGUAAUGGGAAACCUGAACCCUGAAAAAAAAGAGGUGGAAGGAGAAACAUUUGGAGCACAUCCUGUCUACAAAUUAGGAACUGCCUGUGUUAUCUGUUUUAUGGUUAUAUUCUAGAAGAAGAAAGGGAUUUUGUAGCACCUGGUUUUGACCUUUCUGCACUGUUUGUUGAGCAAAUAAACCUUAUGGGCUGUUAGCCCUCUUUAUAGCCUCUCAGCUUAUCCCUGGCCCAGACACCCUGCUGUCAUUUUGACUUUUCAUUCCCACACACACAUACACAUGCACACACAUGUACACACACACACAUACCAUUUAAGAUUAGACAGAAGUAAUGCUCAAAAUGGAGUGGCUUCUGAGACAUUUAGUCCAAGGGUUCCCAAACAGGCUUUUCAGUAUCAGAUUUCUUUCUGCCCCAUUGAAAUGCUACACAACCUUCCGCUUACAGCAGGUCACAAGGGUUUCAUUCUACUUGAAGUAGGGGCCAUGUCCCAUUUCCACUUCCUUGGCUUCCCAUUCAGUCACUGCUAGGAUUUGCCUAGACCCCUGAGGCCAGACAAUGUAGAAACUUCUGCUCCAUGUCACAGGUGAGGAAACAGGCUCAGAGAGGGACAGGCUCCGAAAGUCACAUAGACAACAGUAGGGCUGCGGCUCAAACCCCAGCGUCUGACUCCAGGUUUAGUGCCUUCUCAGGGCAUCAGUGACACUCCUCAUGGCCAGGGUGCCCCCAGUGUUGCUCACAGUCUGGUAUCCAGGGCUGAGAGUGUGCUGUGUGCUCAGACUGCCUGGGUUCAGUCCUGGCACUGCCACUUUACAGUCAGUGACCUCAGGCAGGUUACUUAAGCUCUGCAGGCCUCAGUUUCCUCCUUGGUGGGGAGGGUUAUGAGGCAUCCUUCUCAUGGUAAACCUUCAGUAAAUACCAGCCGUUACUAGGAGGGUCCACUCCUGCCUCUCCACUCUCCAUUCAUCCUGCCUGUUUCCUCUGCCUGCUUCCUCUGCCUGCUUCUGUGGUGGUGAAUUCUUCAUGGCUCCCACCGCCUCCUGCUGCACCCCCACUCAGGGCCCGCAUCAGGACCCUUCCUCCUAUUGGUUUGAACUCCUUGGAGUCAGAGGGUAAUGGAUAGUGGAGUGAGCCAGGUGGCAGAAUCUCAGAGGCCAUCCCGGGCCUAUAAGCCUCUUCAAAAUAGGGCCACGUAUCAAGCUUUACACACAGGAGUGAACUUUCACAAGUUGUUAUGACUCAUACUCUGUCUAUAGUAAGCUGUUAACCACUCCCAUUUGGCUUAUGCCUCUGUAAUUAUUGUACUAACUUAUAUCUUAAAAUAAGGAUAUUGAAGGAAUGAGCCGGGAGAGGCUUUCCUGGUUGAGAUAUAGAAGAACAAGAGUUGCUCUUUUUCCUUAAGGUCUCUCCUCCCACCCCUGACCUUAGCUCACCAGCAUGGGAGAAUACUAUUUGACUCCUUGUACUCUGAGACGUGGAUUUCAAGAUAUAGCAUUCCAACUUCAACGGCAGCAAGAAAAGAAGCAACAGAAGGAGAAGACAUCAUAGCAAACAGGGAUGCAUGCUGCAUUUCCUAAUACUCAAACCCGGAAACGAGACUUCACUCAAGGAUGAUGGGGUGAUAGUUCCAGGCUGGUUGAGGAUGGAUUUGGAGACAGUCCUUUGUACCCUCAGUGAGCAAGAGUAUCUGUCACCCUACCUCAGCAGUUGUCUCUGUCACUGGUCCAAGCAGCUGGUUCCUACACAAGGUCAAGAUCAACUGGGGAGAAGCAGACUCCUGGGUCUAUCCCAUUAGUGAGGACAGCUGCCUGGGCUUAUGGCCUCAUUGGUUUGGUUUCUAUCUUGAUCAUCUCUACCAUCCCCCCAUCCCGGCCUUCCAUUUUCUACCUCAGCUGUCAGUGCACAGAUUGAUGUGUGUGGGAACGGAGCUUGGGAGGAGUGGGGUAGGGCUGGUCCUGUCCUGUAGCCUCCCCUUCCUUCGGGCACUUGGACCCUUUGGAGCUUGCCGGGGUGGGGAAUGGGAGUGGGAAGGCCAGGGAGUGUCUCUGCACCAUCACUGUUUGAGUGUUGCCCCUUUGCUGUGUGCCCCACCUAGUCUAUGUGUGUCUCUGUUCUCUGGGGACUCAAUUUGCUGGUGAAUUGCUUCCAUGGACAUUGUUCUGGGAAAUGCCAUUUUUUCUGCUCACCCAUGACUCUGUGACAAGGAAUGACAGCUUAUUAGGAAUUUGUUUUUGCAUUGGAACAGUGGUCAUCAGAAUGGGCCCCUUUUCCCUUGCAGCUUUGACAUUUGCCUCUCUUUUCCUCACCUCUCUCCCUUGCAUCCACCCUUUUCUCUUUUUCUUCUUUUUUGUUUUCCUUCUAGCAGGGGCCUUUUACCUUUACUUGUUAAUCCUGUUUGUAGCAAAGCAAGUGGAAGGAGGAGUUCCUCUCUGAUCUGCUUCUUAUUCUCCACCUACCUUCUCUUCUGUACUUUCCGCCUCCUAGAGAGAGAGAGAGAGAGAGGAAUGCCGACCUAACUACCGCUGCCACUGCUGCUGCCACCACCGCUGCCACCACCACCCUGGUAAUGUUCACAUGUCCUCAAAUCAACCCAGAGCCAGGGCCCUGCUGGUCAGGGGGAGGCUAUGUAAAUAAUCCCAUGAGUGUGCCAUCCUCAGGCCCUGGGGUCUCCUAGGCAAGACCAGGGCCUCUGUGGGCUCUCUCGGAAAUGCUGAGGUUGCUGGAAGCCAGCCCGUCAUACAGGGUCUGAGAGUUUAACUUCUUUUAAAUUAAACCACAGUUGAGCUCA